rnacentral:lncRNA from 12 species
UUAUGAUAAGGAAAUGCUUCCUGCCAUUAAGCCUGUUUCUUUCUCCUCAUUCAUCUUUCACAGGUCAGAAUUACUCUCUUCAACAUUCCCUGAAACCAUCAUUUUACUUCUACUUACCCUAGCAACCACACAUUAAGUUACCCAGGUCCCGACUCAGGAAACAGCUCUCUCCUUUGGGAAGCGAAGCCAAGGUGUUCUCUUUUAAGCCCCAGCUGCAGUUCCAGCAAAAUGCCAGAAACACAGGAAGUCCUCAGAUACUGAAUAAUUCAAGGAAGGGUGCAGUUACAGCACACGUGGUACAAUCACCAUUUUCUGAUGGACCAUUUUCUAGCUGGAACCACAAUGCAUAUUUUUCACUGAGAGCUAAAAUAUUCAACAUGCA